UGGGGAAUUUUCCGCAAUGGGCGAAAGCCUGACGGAGCAAUACCGCGUGAGGGAUGACAGCCUGUGGGUUGUAAACCUCUUUUCUCAAGGAAGAAAUUCUGACGGUACUUGAGGAAUAAGCAUCGGCUAACUCUGUGCCAGCAGCCGCGGUAAUACAGAGGAUGCAAGCGUUAUCCGGAAUCACUGGGCAUAAAGCGUCUGUAGGUUGUAUAGCAAGUCUGCUGUUAAAGACUAGGGCUUAACCCUAGGAAAGCAGUGGAAACUACUAUACUCGAGUGUGGUAGAGGUAGAGGGAAUUCCUAGUGUAGCGGUGAAAUGCGUAGAUAUUAGGAAGAACACCCAUGGCGAAAGCACUCUACUAGGCCAUAACUGACACUGAGAGACGACAGCUAGGGGAGCAAAUGGG
rnacentral:rRNA from 1 species